GCCUCAUGAUAUUCCUAAACCUCCUGCCUCAUGACAUUCCUAAACCUCCUUCCUCAUGAUAUUCCUAAACCUCCUUCCUCAUGAUAUUCCUAAACCUCCUGCCUCGUGGACAUUCCUAAACCUCCUUCCUCGUGGAUAUUCCUAAACCUCCUGCCUCAUGACAUUCAUAAACCUCCUGCCUCGUGGACAUUCCUAAACCUCCUGCCUCAUGACAUUCCUAAACCUCCUGCCUCGUGGACAUUCCUAAACCUCCUGCCUCAUGACAUUCCUAAACCUCCUGCCUCGUGACAUUCCUAAACCUCCUGCCUCGUGGACAUUCCUAAACCUCCUGCCUCAUGACAUUCCUAAACCUCCUGCCUCGUGGACAUUCCUAAACCGUAUGAGCGUAUGAGAGUAUACAUGCAAGUGUGUGUGUGUGUGUGUGUGUGUGUGUGUGUGUGUGCGUGUGUGUGUGUGUGUGUGUGUGUGUGUGUGUGCGUGUGCCCAUAAGGCUAGAAUCAAUGAUCAAAGACAGCUAAAGGUAAAAAACUCCAAAGUCAAAGAGGUAAUGCACCCAACCUCUCUCAGCAUAUGGCCCACUAAAUGACUCCAGUCAGUCACUCCAAAUCUAAAGAUGCAAAGGGGGAGAAUAUUAGAAGCAAGCAUCCAUCCCCAAUCCCCAGCCCUCUUUCUCUCCAUCCCUCUGUCUCUUUCUCUCCAUCCCUCCCUCUGUCUCUCUCUUUCUCUCCCUCCCUCACUCCCUCCCCCCUUCAACUCGGUGUGGUGCAGCGUGUGUGUAGUGUGGUGUAGUGUAGUGUAGUGUAGUGUAGUGUGUAGUGUGUAGUGUAGUGUAGUGGGGUGUGGUGUGGUGUGGUGUAGUGUAGUGUGGUGUAGUGUAGUGUGGUGUAGUGUAGUGUAGUGUAGUGUGGUGUAGUGUAGUGUGUGGUGUAGUGUAGUGUAGUGUGUGUAGUGUAGUGUAGUGUAGUGUAGUGUAGUGUGUGUGUAGUGUGUGUGUGUGUAGUGUAGUGUAGUGUAGUGUAGUCUGGUGUAGUGUGGUGUAGUGUAGUGUAGUGUGGUGUGGUGUGGUGUAGUGUAGUGUGUGUGUAGUGUAGUGUAGUGUAGUGUAGUGUGUGUAGUGUAGUGUAGUGUGUAGUGUGUAGUGUAGUGUAGUGUGGGUGUAGUGUGUGUGUAGUGUAGUGUGUAGUGUAGUGUAGUGUGUAGUGUAGUGUAGUGUGUGUGUAGUGUAGUGUAGUGUAGUGUAGUGUGUAGUGUGGUGUGGUGUAGUGUGUGUGUAGUGUAGUGUGGUGUAGUGUGUGUAGUGUAGUGUAGUGUAGUGUGUAGUGUAGUGUAGUGUAGUGUAGUGUGGUGUAGUGUAGUGUAGUGUAGUGUGUGUGUAGUGUAGUUUGGUGUAGUGUGUGUAGUGUAGUGUUGUGUAGUGUAGUGUGUAGUGUGUAGUGUAGUGUAGUAUAGUGUAGUGUAGUGUGUAGUGUAGUGUGGUGUGGUGUGGUGUAGUGUAGUGUAGUGUAGUGUAGUGUAGUGUGUGUGUAGUGUAGUGUGUAGUGUAGUGUAGUGUAGUGUAGUGUAGUGUAGUGUGUAGUGUGGUGUAGUGUGUGUAGUGUGGGUGUAGUGUGUGUGUAGUGUAGUGUGUAGUGUAGUGUGGUGUAGUGUGUGUAGUGUAGUGUAGUGUAGUGUAGUGUAGUGUGGUGUGGGUGUAGUGUGUGUGUAGUGUAGUGUGUAGUGUAGUGUGGUGUAGUGUGGUGUGGUGUAGUGUGUAGUGUAGUGUAGUGUAGUGUAGUGUAGUGUAGUGUAGUGUAGUGUAGUGUGUAGUGUAGUGUAGUGUAGUGUGGUGUAGUGUAGUGUAGUGUAGUGUAGUGUGUGUAGUGUAGUGUAUGUAGUGUGUGUAGUGUAGUGUAGUGUAGUGUAGUGUAGUGUAGUGUGUGUGGUGUGGUGUGUGUGUGUGUAGUGUAGUGUAGUGUGUGUGUAGUGUAGUGUGGUGUGGUGUAGUGUAGUGUAGUGUGUAGUGUAGUGUGUAGUGUAGUGUAGUGUAGUGUAGUGUGUGUGUAGUGUAGUGUAGUGUAGUGUAGUGUGGUGUAGUGUAGUGUGUGUAGUGUGUAGUGUGUAGUGUAGUGUAGUGUAGUGUGUGUGUGGUGUGGUGUAGUGUAGUGUGUGUGUAGUGUAGUGUGGUGUAGUGUGUAGUGUGGUGUAGUGUAGUGUAGUGUAGUGUAGUGUAGUGUAGUGUGGUGUAGUGUGUGUAGUGUAGUGUGUGGUGUGGUGUGGUGUGGUGUAGUGUAGUGUAGUGUGUAGUGUAGUGUGUGUGUGUGUGGUGUAGUGUGGUGUAGUGUAGUGUAGUGUAGUGUGUGUGUGGUGUAGUGUGGUGUGGUGUAGUGUGGUGUGGUGUGGUGUGGUGUAGUGUGUGUGUAGUGUGUGUGUAGUGUAGUGUAGUGUGUAGUGUAGUGUAGUGUAGUGUAGUGUGGUGUGGUGUGUAGUGUAGUGUAGUGUAGUGUAGUGUAGUGUAGUGUGUGUAGUGUGUAGUGUAGUGUAGUGUAGUGUAGUGUGGUGUAGUGUAGUGUAGUGUAGUGUAGUGUGUGUGUAGUGUAGUGUGGUGUAGUGUAGUGUGGUGUAGUGUGUAGUGUGGUGUAGUGUAGUGUAGUGUAGUGUGUAGUGUAGUGUGUAGUGUGGUGUAGUGUAGUGUGGUGUAGUGUAGUGUAGUGUAGUGUGUAGUGUAGUGUGUAGUGUGGUGUAGUGUAGUGUAGUGUAGUGUAGUGUGGUGUGUGUGUAGUGUAGUGUAGUGUAGUGUAGUGUAGUGUAGUGUGUGUGUGUAGUGUAGUGUGGUGUAGUGUAGUGUAGUGUAGUGUGUGUGGUGUAGUGUGGUGUAGUGUAGUGUAGUGUAGUAUGGUGUGGUGUAGUGUAGUGUAGUGUAGUGUAGUGUAGUGUGUGUGGUGUAGUGUGGUGUAGUGUAAUGUAAUGUAGUGUAGUGUAGUGUGUGUGUGUGGUGUAGUGUGGUGUAGUGUGUGUGUGUGUGGUGUAGUGUGUGUGUGUAGUGUAGUGUGUGUGUAGUGUGGUGUGGUGUGGUGUGGUGUAGUGUGUGUGUGUGUAGUGUAGUGUAGUGUGUGUGUAGUGUGGUGUGUAGUGUGUAGUGUAGUGUAGUGUAGUGUAGUGUAGUGUGGUGUAGUGUGGUGUAGUGUGUGCUAGAUUUGGUCUGCCCAAUGUGGACUCAAUCCCUCUGAUCUGAACAAAGAGAGAACACAAAUGUCCAUCCCCUCGCCAGUUUUUUGCUCUCCUCCCUCUCUCUCUGUUUUCAUGUCGUUGUUGUUGUUGUUGUUUUUGGGGGGUGCCCAGUUGUGCUGCUACUGUUCCCUAUCAUCCUGCUCCAUGUCUCUCUCUCUCUCUCUCUCUCUCUCUCAUCCUGCUCCAUGUCUCUCUCUCUCUCUCUCUCUCUCUCUCUCUCUCUUUCAUCCUGCUCCAUGUCUAUCUCUCUCUCUCCCUCUCUCUCUCUCUCUCUCUCUCAUCCUGCUCCAUGUCUAUCUCUCUCCUUUUCCACUUCUCUGUGUUCAUCCGUUGCUUUUUCUGGGAUGUUUCACUUGUUUCUUUGUCUGUCUGUGCCACUAUCGCUCCCACACCCUCUCAUCCACCCCUCUCCCCCUUUUUUUAGCAUCAACACCAUGUGCUGUUCCCACAUCUCUCUCUCUCUCUCUCUCUCAUUCUAUUUCUCUCUCUCUCUCUCUCAUUUCUCUGGUCUCUCUUUCUCUCCCACUUUCAGCAGCGACAUCAUGCAUUGUUCUCACAUUUUGUUUAUGCCCAGCUGUUUCAUACCCAAGAUUUUAAUCCCAAAUCCCACCCCUCUGUCCCC
ensembl:lncRNA